GGGGAUUGUUGGACUUCACCUUUUGUUUUUGUCCUGCAGGAAUUGGAUUUUGUCUUUGCAUGAGCGUGUUUUUCUUGUGUGUGAAUCAGAAGCUUCUUUAAGUUUGUUGGUCUGAUUGAAACGGGCGUGUCCUCAGAGUUAUCAGUAGCAUAAGUCACACAGAGGGGAAGGCAAUGUGGCCAGUAUAUACAGGCUUUUAAGCCAGGGAUGGUGCUAGCUGCAAAUAGUAAGCCAGCCACUCAUUAACUGGUCUAAAUUAAGAGUGGUCCAACAAGGCCCUGAGGCAAACCCCUCUACCAUUUUUCUCGGAAGCUACAGGACUGCCUUCGAUGAUGUACAAAUUGGUACCCUGAGGCCCAGGGCUGUACAGUGGCUCUUAAUACCUAUCUCAUAUCUCAAAGUGCUCCAGACAUCUGGAGGAGACUUCAAAAGUUGGCCGUAUAUCCUGAUACUAAUUCUGCAUAGCUAGUAGAGGCUGCUUUCAGGGUGUUCAAGAACCAGAAGGAAGCUGAAGAAAAGAAGGAGGAUAAACAGAUGCAGAGACAGGCUGCUUGUAGUAGCCCUCCAGAGUGCUCAAGGUAACCCAAGGGAGAGGAAGAAGACGCCAUGGCUUAGCCCUGAGAUAACAUCCGUGCCCAUCAUCACCUACUUUAUACAUGGGAUGCCUGCCACAGCACGACUUGGUCCCUGUUCCCAUCAGACAUUCCACUCCACCACAUCAAGGCAGGUAACCGUGUUCUCCUUAAGUCUUGGAUGGAGCAUGGACCAGAGGAUCAACUAACCCCCAAGUGGACCAGGCCUUAUGAAGUCCUCCUGACCCCCAGGACCAGAACACUCAGAAGCUGAAAAGAAAGAAACUGGUCUUGUGAGCUGCUGAAGACCUUAAGCUGUUGUUCUGGGUUAAGACAGCCGACAGUAGUCAUAUAAGUAAAAUGAAUUGGGUUCUUGCAUUCGGGGUUCUGGAAACUUGGGUUAAUCAAAUAUGGAAUAAGGUGCUUUUCUAAGACUAGAUAGAGGCACUCAAAUAAUGAUAAUGCAAAAUAUAACCCAGUACUUGAGAGUAUUUUCAAUCUCAGGUUGAAAAAUUUCCUUCCUCAGUUUCCCCAUCUUCACCUCCUUUCAACAGGAAGUAUCCAGAAUGAUUGAUGCCCUACUUCCUACAAGAAUGAGGAAGGGAAAGACAAUGGGAAUUGAAGCCAAGUAACUGAGGGUUACUAUAGAUAAUCAAUAAGAACACAGAUUGCCUUUCGACCUUGUUCCCAACACAAACAUAGAUGAAUCUUGUCAAUUUGCUGUUUUCUUGUCUAUUUUGAGGAGCAACUCAAGAGUCUUAAGGAUUUGUGAGCUUGUUUUGCAGAAAAAAAGAGAAUGCCCUUGGGGAGGUUGUGGUCACUGGAUGGCCAGCCCCCAGCAGCUAUUGAAGUCCAGAAGUCAGAUUUCCCAGGGGCUUAUCAGAAGUGACCCCUUUGUUUCUCCAAAGCUCCUCCUGUCAAGCCCCUUAGCUCUAUAAUACCCCCUGUUUUCUGCUCUUGUGAAGGCAGAUUUAAGCAAACCCAUGCUCCCAUCUUCUCGUCUUGGCCAAUUCGAAUAAACCUUUCUCCAUCUCCAAGCACCGGUAUCUCAAUGUUUGGUUGAUUGCAUAUGGGGCACACAAACUUGAGAUUAAGAGGUUUGGUGUCAGAAUGAAC
rnacentral:lncRNA from 1 species